rnacentral:tRNA from 1 species
AAGACUUUAUGUUAAAAUAAACAAAUAACCUUCAAAGUUAUAAAUGUAAGUUUGUGAAUCUUUCAGGUCUUA